AAGCGUUGUUCGGAAUUACUGGGCGUAAAGGGCGCGUAGGCGGCCGCCUAAGUCAGACGUGAAAUCCCUCGGCUCAACCGGGGAACUGCGUCUGAUACUGGGUGGCUUGAAUCCGGGAGAGGGAUGCGGAAUUCCAGGUGUAGCGGUGAAAUGCGUAGAUAUCUGGAGGAACACCGGUGGCGAAGGCGGCAUCCUGGACCGGUAUUGACGCUGAGGCGCGAAAGCCAGGGGAGCAAACGGG
rnacentral:rRNA from 1 species